GCUCUCCAUCUGAACUGCCCAGGAGCAGCUGCCCCACCCCUGCUGCCUUUCUGCGCGGCCCCUCUGGCUCCCACUGCCCUCGACAGCUGCUUCCCGGGGCUUGGAAUCUGGCUUUCCAUGUCCCACACAGUCCUGAAGCUGCUAGCAUGGGGGCUGGGGUUCGAGGACCGCCGUCCAUGUACUCAGACCGAGGUGCCCACUCCCCAACUCUCUGUCCCGGUGACCCCAAGCCUCGAGCAGGGUCCCUCCAUCAAGUCAGGCCAGGUGCCUCCCGAGGCUGAACCUGGCCUGCAGUUGGCAGUUCCAGCCCACAGCUGCGGUCCCGGUGUCCCGGCUGCAGGAGUGAGCCCUUCACUCACCUGUCACCUUCACCUCCUGGCUCCAGGAGGUCUCAGGGACACGCUACCUGCUGAGCACCUAGGGAGCCAGGCCCAGCAGACCCCAGCCCCUUCGGGGAGGCGGGCUGUGGGAUGCGCUCGUCUGGGGGCCUCUGUUCUCAUACGCUCAGUUGUUAAACUGCCAAGGCCACGGGGGAGGAGCCCAGGCCCUGACUACUUUGCUGUGGCUGCGUCUUUACCUCUCUCGGGCAUGGGGCCUGCGGCCCAGGACUGGCACAGGCUGCAUCCCCGGCAGGACCCGAGGUGGUGAACGGGACCUCUGAACCUCCACGGAGCCCGACCUGUGCAUUGAGGGGAAGUGGAGAGCACGUGCGGGCCUGGGAGGUGGCCUGGCCGUGUGGCUGGAGCUGCCGCCCACCCAGGCGCCCUUGGGUGCAGCUGGGUGCAGAGGGCAGGAGGGCAGCAGGAGGACUGAGGUCGCUGGCACCAGCCGCAGUGAGCGGCUCAGCCAGGGACGCAGUGUGCAGGGCACCAAACCUGGACCCUCCGGGGACAGAGCAGUGCCCUGUGAGCUCGCGCCGCGUAUGGGAGGGCUGUCAGCGAGCAAGGCCGAACACAAUGCAGCUGAGCACCUGGCCGUCCUUGGAGACGUGGGAAUUUGUAGUUGGGGGCUACAGGUGAGAAUCCAGGAGCCUGGCUCUGAGCACAGCAACCAGGCAACAGCAGGGAGCGGCUGCAACCCAGGAGGCCGGCCUCACUAGGGCCGGACACCAGUCCCUGUCCUUGGGCCGGCGGGCGGGCGCCAUCUGCCUGUCCGCCUCCCCGGCCUGCACUUUGUCCCCGCAGAACCCCGUGUCCCCGGGCUGUCCUCACGCCCACGUCACCUGCGCGGCCCAGAAUCCCUUGGAACCAGCCUGCCACCCGCAAAGGAUGCUGGCAUGCAGGGGCGGCAGGAUGGAGGCCUAGGAGCGCCAUCUGCCCAGCCGCCGAGACAGGAGGGUCGCGACGCAGCGGGAGGAGGAGCGCGGGCAGGACCGGGUGGGUUGGGGGCGGCGCCCGGGAGCUUCUGUUCUCUAGGCUUCCGCGGGGCUUCUGCAGCAGCUCAGCUAGUUUCGCAAUAGCAGGAAAAAGCGACCCUCGCUUUAGGGAGAAGCAGUGUUCUCGCAGGAUCCGGAGAGGAGCCCCUGGCCAAACCAGAUCCACGGACCGGAACUGUGCCGCGCUGAGCUGCGCCUCCUGGAACUGUGGGUGUGGACAGGAG